AUUGAACGCUGGCGGCAGGCUUAACACAUGCAAGUCGAGCGGAGAUGAGGUGCUUGCACCUUAUCUUAGCGGCGGACGGGUGAGUAAUGCUUAGGAAUCUGCCUAUUAGUGGGGGACAACAUUCCGAAAGGAAUGCUAAUACCGCAUACGUCCUACGGGAGAAAGCAGGGGAUCUUCGGACCUUGCGCUAAUAGAUGAGCCUAAGUCGGAUUAGCUAGUUGGUGGGGUAAAGGCCUACCAAGGCGACGAUCUGUAGCGGGUCUGAGAGGAUGAACCGCCGCACUGGGACUGAGACACGGCCCAGACUCCUACGGGAGGCAGCAGUGGGGAAUAUUGGACAAUGGGCGGAAGCCUGAUCCAGCCAUGCCGCGUGUGUGAAGAAGGCCUUUUGGUUGUAAAGCACUUUAAGCGAGGAGGAGGCUACCUAGAUUAAUACUCUGGGAUAGUGGACGUUACUCGCAGAAUAAGCACCGGCUAACUCUGUGCCAGCAGCCGCGGUAAGAC
rnacentral:rRNA from 1 species